rnacentral:rRNA from 1 species
UACGGAGGGUGCAAGCGUUAAUCGGAAUUACUGGGCGUAAAGCGUGCGCAGGCGGUGAUGUAAGACCGAUGUGAAAUCCCCGGGCUUAACCUGGGAACUGCAUUGGUGACUGCAUCGCUCGAGUAUGGCAGGGGGGGUAGAAUUCCACGUGUAGCAGUGAAAUGCGUAGAGAUGUGGAGGAAUACCGAUGGCGAAGGCAGCCCCCUGGGUCAAUACUGACGCUCAUGCACGAAAGCGUGGGGAGCAAACAGG